GAAGCUGGCUAGACAGUCGCUGCCUGCUUUUCAGUAAUGGAAGGCAGGGGGAGGAAAGUCCGGGCUCCAUAGAGCAGGAUGCCGGUUAAUGGCCGGCCGCCGUGAGGUGAGGAAUAGGGCCACAGAGACGAGCGUAUUAAGUUACGGUGAAACGCGGUAACCUCCAUCCGGAGCAAGACCAAAUAGGCAGGCAAUGAUGCGGCUCGCUGAGCCUGCGGGUAGGUUGCUUGAGCUUGCGGGCAACCGCACGCCUAGAGGAAUGACUGUCCACGACAGAACCCGGCUUACCGGCCAGCUUCAUUU
rnacentral:RNase_P_RNA from 4 species